CCUGCUCGCGUGAACCCACGCAGCGGGUCGGUAUGUGGCCCUCACGGGCUGAACCCUCAA
ncrna:Halococcus morrhuae DSM 1307 eL15-Euryarchaeota ribosomal protein leader